rnacentral:tRNA from 1 species
GCUGGGUUUGGCUCAGUGAUAGAGUGCUUGCCUGGCACGUGUGGGGCCCUGAGUUUGAUCCUCAGCACAACA